UACGGGGGGAGCAAGCGUUGUUCGGAUUUACUGGGCGUAAAGGGCGCGUAGGCGGUCAGCACAAGUCAGUUGUGAAAUCUCCGGGCUUAACUCGGAAAGGUCAACUGAUACUGUGCGACUAGAGUGCGGAAGGGGCAACUGGAAUUCUCGGUGUAGCGGUGAAAUGCGUAGAUAUCGAGAGGAACACCUGCGGCGAAGGCGGGUUGCUGGGCUGACACUGACGCUGAAGUGCGAAAGCUAGGGGAGCGAACGGG
rnacentral:rRNA from 1 species